rnacentral:rRNA from 1 species
AUACGUAUGUCGCAAGCGUUAUCCGGAUUUAUUGGGCGUAAAGCGCGUCUAGGCGGCUUAGUAAGUCUGAUGUGAAAAUGCGGGGCUCAACCCCGUAUUGCGUUGGAAACUGCUAAACUAGAGUACUGGAGAGGUAGGCGGAACUACAAGUGUAGAGGUGAAAUUCGUAGAUAUUUGUAGGAAUGCCGAUGGGGAAGCCAGCCUACUGGACAGAUACUGACGCUAAAGCGCGAAAGCGUGGGUAGCAAACAGGAUUAGAUGCCCUGGUAGUCCACGCCGUAAACGAUGAUUACUAGGUGUUGGGGGUCGAACCUCAGCGCCCAAGCUAACGCGAUAAGUAAUCCGCCUGGGGAGUACGUACGCAAGUAUGAAACUCAAAUGAAUUGGCGGGG